UCUGUGGUACAUGAUGACUUUAAACUUUUUUCCCCAUCAUAUCGGCUAUGCUGAUUUCUUGAAUUCAAGCCAAAUUGUCUGAUUCCACAGA
rnacentral:snoRNA from 1 species